UACGAAGGGGGGCUAGCGUUGUUCGGAAUUACUGGGCGUAAAGCGCACGUAGGCGGAUUUGUUAGUCAGGGGUGAAAUCCCGGGGCUCAACCUCGGAACUGCCUUUGAUACUGCAAGUCUCGAGUCCGGAAGAGGUGAGUGGAAUUCCUAGUGUAGAGGUGAAAAUUCGUAGAUAUUUAGGAAGAACACCAGUGGCGAAGGCGGCUCACUGGUCCGGUACUGACGCUGAGGUGCGAAAGCGUGGGGAGCAAACAGGG
rnacentral:rRNA from 1 species